rnacentral:rRNA from 1 species
CACGCAUGACACACUGCAUAUCAAUAAGCGGAGGAAAAGAAACUAACAAGGAUUCCCUUAGUAACGGCGAGUGAAGCGGGAAGAGCUCAAAUUUGAAAUCUUCAAGGUUCUACCUUGACGAAUUGUAGUUUAUAGAAGUGUUUUCUGUUAGUAGAGUGGCAAAAGUUCUUUGGAAUAGGACAUCAUAGAGGGUGAGAAUCCCGUAUUUGGUCAUUCCUCCUAGCGUUGUGAUACACUUUCAACGAGUCGGAUUGUUUGGGAAUGCAGUCCAAAAUGGGUGGUAAAUUUCAUCUAAAGCUAAAUAUUGGCGAGAGACCGAUAACGAACAAGUACCGUGAGGGAAAGAUGAAAAGAACUUCGAAAAGAGAGUUAAACAGUACGUGAAAUUGUCAAAAGGGAAGCGUUCGACACCAGUGUUGUUUUUCCGAAAAUCAAUUACGAAUGUUUUAUUUUUGAGGAGUUAUGACUUCAUCGGCUUGCUCCUUUCUUUAUGAAACUUUCUUAAUGCACUUUUCGGUUAACAAGUCAACAUCAAUUUCUUUUGUUGUAAAAGGGUAUGAGGAAGGUGGCUUUCUUUUCGGAGAAAGUGUUUAUAGCCUUGUGCCUCUGCAAUCGGAGAGAUUGAGGUCUGCAGCGUAGAUCCUUCGGGGUUAGAUACAUUUGUGCUAAGUUAUAGCUUUUCAUAGACAACUUGUUGACUAUGUUUAGUCUUGUAGCUUACUCGCUUAUGCUAUUUUACCUACGCUUAGGAUGUUGACGAGACUGUCGAUCUC